rnacentral:lncRNA from 1 species
GCAGGGGGUUGGACUAGAUGGCCCAUGUGGUCUCUUCCAACUCUACUAUUCUAUGAUUCUAUGAUUCUAUGAAGUCAUAGGGAGGAGGGAGCAAGCUUAUUUUCUGCUGCCCUGCAGACUAGGACGCAAGGGAACAAUGGCUUCAAACUACAGGAAAGGAGAUUCCACCUGAACAUCAGGAAGAACUUCCUCACUGUGAGGGCUGUUCGGCAGUGGAACUCUCUCCCCCGGGCCGUGGUGGAGGCUCCUUCUUUGGAGGCUUUUAAGCAGAGGCUGGAUGGCCAUCUGUCGGGGGUGCUUUGAAUGCGAUUUCCUGCUUCUUAGCGGGGGGUUGGACUAGAUGGCCCUUGAGGUCUCUUCCAACUCUACUAUUCUAUGAUUCUAUGAUUCUAUGUCCUCCUGCUGCCUCUGCUUCUGCGAGAACCAACUGCCCUUCUGGGAUCAGGCUCUGGCAGAAACUCACACUGGCAAAUAAAGCUUUCCCAGAAGGGCAGUUGGUUCUCGCAGAAGCAGAGGCAGCAGGAGGACAUUUUUGCUCCCUGGCUUCAGGUAGGAUAUGACUAAGAUUUUAAACUGAGUGUGGGCUUGGCUCCUGUGGUCAAAGUCUAACUGUUGUGUGACUGUUGUGUUGAAAGAGAGCCAGGUACUUAAGUUGAUUGACAGCAGGCAUUGUCCCCUGUUAAUUGAGUUUCUGGGAAAGCUUUAUUUGCCAGUGUGAGUUUCUGCCAGAGCCUGAUCCCAGAAGGGCAGUUGGUUCUCGCAGAAGCAGAGGCAGCAGGAGGACAUUUUUGCUCCCUGGCUUCAGGUAGGAUUUGGCUAAGAUUUUAAACUGAGUGUGGGCUUGGCUCCUGUGGUCAAAGUCUAACUGUUGUGUGACUGUUGUGUUGAAAGAGAGCCAGGUACUUAAGUUGAUUGACAGCAGGCAUUGUCCCCUGUUAACUUGAGUUUCUGGGAAAGCUUUAUUUGCCAGUGUGAGUUCUGCCAGAGCCUGAUCCCAGAAGGACAGUUGGUUCUCGCAGACGCAGAUGCAGCAGGAGGACAUUGAAUCAUAGAUUUCAUAGAUAGUAGAGUUGGAAGAGACCUCAAAGGACCAUCUAGUCCAACCCCCCGUUAAGAAGCAGGAUAUCGCAUUCAAAGCACCCCCGACAGAUGGCCAUCCAGCCUCUGCUUAAAAGCCUCCAAAGAAGGAGCCUCCACCACGGCCCGGGGGAGAGAGUUCCACUGCCGAACAGCCCUCACAGUGAGGAAGUUCUUCUUGAUGUUCAGGUGGAAUCUCCUUUCCUGUAGUUAGAAGCCAUUGUCCCCAAAAACUCUCUCUUCGCGGGAGAGGGGGAGG